rnacentral:rRNA from 1 species
UACAGAGGGUGCGAGCGUUAAUCGGAAUUACUGGGCGUAAAGCGCGCGUAGGCGGCUUUGCAAGUCGGGUGUGAAAUCCCCAGGCUUAACCUGGGAACUGCAUCCGAGACUGCAUUGCUAGAGUAUGGGAGAGGGAAGUGGAAUUUCAGGUGUAGCGGUGGAAUGCGCGGAUAUCAGGAGGAACACCAAUAGCGAAGGCAGCUCGCUGGGACGGUACUGACGCUAAGGCGCGAAAGCGUGGGGAGCGAACAGG